CCCGUCCCUUAUAUAUAGACCCCGCAUCCAAUCACGGCCCAGUUCCACUCUACCCCAGCCAAUCACACACACCAACACUGUCUUUAUACAAAUAAUUGC